AUUGAACGCUGGCGGCAGGCCUAACACAUGCAAGUCGAACGAGUGGCGGACGGGUGAGUAAUGUCUGGGAAACUGCCUGCUGGAGGGGGAUAACUACUGGAAACGGUAGCUAAUACCGCAUACCAUCGGAUGUGCCCAGAUGGGAUUAGCUAGUAGGUGGGGUAAAGGCUCACCUAGGCGACGAUCCCUAGCUGGUCUGAGAGGAUGACCAGCCACACUGGAACGGAGACACGGUCCAGACUCCUACGGGAGGCAGGAGUGGGGUAUCGUCCACAAUGGGCGCAAGGCUAAUGCGGCCAUGCCGCGUGUAUGAAGAAGGCCUUCGGGUUGUAAAGGACUUUCAGCGGGGAGGCGUUACCCGCAGAAGAAGCACCGGCUAACUCCGUGCCAGCAGCCGCGGUAAUAC
rnacentral:rRNA from 1 species